AGGAAAGCGCAAAGGUGAGGUGAACAGAGUGCUCAUUGUAGGUCUCAGAGGUGUGAUUUCUCAGAUCUCAGCAAGACAGUAACUGCUAAGAACCAGGAAGUGUCUGGGGAGCUACAGGUCAGAUGAUGAAGAGGAAGCAUUUUAAGAGACAGCGAAGCCAGCCUUCACCCAAUGCAGGAAGACAAGAAAAAUCAUCCUUCUCAAAAUUGUCAUGUAAAGUUAAGACUGUUUUUAGAACUGAGAUCCUCUUAAAUAAAGAACUGGAGCAUUAGGACUUUUCGAAAAGAGAAUUUCAUUUACUUUCAAACUAAUAAAAGUAA